GAUGAACGCUGGCGGCGUGCCUAAUACAUGCAAGUCGAGCGAACGGAUUAAGAGCUUGCUCUUAUGAAGUUAGCGGCGGACGGGUGAGUAACACGUGGGUAACCUGCCCAUAAGACUGGGAUAACUCCGGGAAACCGGGGCUAAUACCGGAUAACAUUUUGAACCGCAUGGUUCGAAAUUGAAAGGCGGCUUCGGCUGUCACUUAUGGAUGGACCCGGGUCGCAUUAGCUAGUUGGUGAGGUAACGGCUCACCAAGGCAACGAUGCGUAGCCGACCUGAGAGGGUGAUCGGCCAAACUGGGACUGAGACACGGCCCAGACUCCUACGGGAGGCAGCAGUAGGGAAUCUUCCGCAAUGGACGAAAGUCUGACGGAGCAACGCCGCGUGAGUGAUGAAGGCUUUCGGGUCGUAAAACUCUGUUGUUAGGGAAGAACAAGUGCUAGUUGAAUAAGCUGGCACCUUGACGGUACCUAACCAGAAAGCCACGGCUAACUACGUGCCAGCCGCCGCAGUAA
rnacentral:rRNA from 1 species